UUUUGGUAGCAAUACCGAAAGUAAUUCAGUGGCGAACGGGUGCGUAACACGUGGGCAAUCUGCCGAAAAGUGGGGGAUAGCUCGCCGAAAGGCGAAUUAAUACCGCAUGUGGUGAGGGACGACAUCUUCCUGAAUUCAAAGCCGGGGCAACCUGGCGCUUUUUGAGGAGCCCGCGGCCUAUCAGCUUGUUGGCGGGGUAACGGCCCACCAAGGCUUUGACGGGUAGCUGGUCUGAGAGGACGACCAGUCACACUGGAACUGAGACACGGUCCAGACACCUACGGGUGGCAGCAGUCGAGAAUUUUUCUCAAUGGGGGAAACCCUGAAGGAGCGACGCCGCGUGGAGGAUGAAGGCUUUCGGGUUGUAAACUCCUGUCAUUUGAGAACAAGUGCCAACAAGUAACUACUGUUGGCUUGAUAGUAUCAGAAGAGGAAGGGACGGCUAACUCUGUGCCAGCAGCCGCGGUAAUACAGAGGUCCCAAGCGUUGUUCGGAUUCAUUGGGCGUAAAGGGUGCGUAGGUGGCGCCGUAAGUCGGGUGUGAAAUUUCGGAGCUUAACUCCGAAGCUGCAUUCGAUACUGCGGUGCUUGAGGACUGGAGAGGAGACUGGAAUUUACGGUGUAGCAGUGAAAUGCGUAGAGAUCGUAAGGAAGACCAGUGGCGAAGGCGGGUCUCUGGACAGUUC
rnacentral:rRNA from 1 species